CCCAGCCGUGCACGGUGCGUCCUCCCCAUCCCCCUCUUCCCCUAAUUCCUCUCCUGCGCUGCCGCCGCCGCCGCCGCUCCGAGACUCCGCCAGUAGCUGUUGCCGCCUCCCCCUCCCUCUCGUCGCAACAAUCCACCACGUCGCCUACCGCUGCCGAUACCAUAGCUCCGGACGUUGGCGCGGGCAUGUAGGACGGAGACAUCGAGGACUGCCUGCUCGGCGGCAACGAGGACGACAAGGCGGAGGCAGAGGCCGGAGGCGGGUUCGCUGCACUCCCAGCGGUGGCCGCGGAGCUUCCGGGAAGAGACUGACACCUUCACCAUUGCUGCGCCUCCGGGCUUUGAUCACAUGGGCGACUUCAGGGGACUGGGCUCUGACCUGACGUUGCCUCUUCUAUCGGACAAGCCAGAGGGGAGGCAAGAUUCAGUCAAGAACUUGCUAGCAGAACUCUUGGGUUCAGUGAUAAUCUGCACCAGGCUACAACAGCCCCAAUCACUCAGGGAUGCAUCCUAACACAAACUGUGUAUACUACUGUAACUGAAAAUGGUGCUUGUUUUUCUAUGAUUUGGACAUGCCUCAUAUUUUUCUUUGUUGUUGGCAGGGGUCAACGUGCUUGCUGGUAUUGGCAUUUUAUCCGCUCCAUACACGAUUCGUGAGGCAGGAUGGGCCAGCCUAGCGGUUCUGGCUUUUUUUCGCUACUAUUUGCUGCUAUACUGGGGUUCUGCUCAAGUAUUGUUCUGAGAGCAAAGACAGUGUUAAAACCUUUCCAGACAUUGGAGAGGCUUCCAUUGGGAGGAUCGGUCGCCUUCUCAUCUCUCUUGUUUUGUAUACGGAGCUAUAUGCUUCACUGCUCCCUGCGACUUCACUUUUACUCACUUUAUCGUCAACAGUAUUAAGACAGCACAUUGAUUAGCAUACCCUAAUUGUUUGUCCAGCUGGUGGUGUCUUUGCAACUCUUGUGGUUUUCCUAUCUGUUGGCUUAGUCGGCGCUACUGGAAGUGUCGGAUUCCAUAUGACAGGCAAAGAAGUGAAGUGGGAUGGUAUACCCUUUGCAAUUAGGAUUUAUGGCUUUUGCUAUGCUGGUGAUUCUGUAUUUCCGAAUAUAUACCACUCAAUGUCUGAUCGCACAAAAUUCAACAAGGCCAUGUACAUAUGUUAGGUAUCGUUGUAUCAAGUAUGAAGCUCUCUUUUUCUUUGAUGAGGUCCAGUGUGGUUUGGGGCGCACAGGUUACUUCUGGGCCCAUGAGGCAUAUGUAGUAGCACCAGACAUUAUGACCUUAGCAAAGGUACUAGCCAAUGGUCUCUCCAUCGGAGUUGUAUUGGUUAAGAAAAAGGUCACUGCAGUCAUAAGCUAUGGCGACCAUGGUACUACAUUCGGCGGUAGACCUCCUGUCUACCCGGCUACAUUAAUUGUAUUGGACAAAAUCCAGAAACCUGGUUUCUUGGCUGUGGUGUCCAGGAAGGGAGAGAACAGCUUCUCCGCACAAAGCUAAGCGGAAACCCACAUGUAAAGGAGGUCCGUGGUGUUGACCUCAUUGUUGGCAUCGAGCUAGAUCCUAGAUGUACCAGCUGGUCCUCUUGUUGAUGCAUACCUUGAUGCUGGUGUCAUAGUGCUGAUGGCUGGAAAAGGUAAUGAUCCGAGUCUCGUGCUGCCACUCAUCAUCUCAGAGGAGGAGCUGGAGCAAGCUGCAGAUGUUAUAAGGGACUGUCUACUGGUGCUUGAUGUCGCUACUUCUUAAUGUAACCACAUGUGUUUACUGUUUACCAAUUGGUGUUAGAGUGAUCCCCCCUUUUGGGAGGUUCAGAUCAUGUAUGUUAUAAUAGGUCUGCAUAUGGAAGCCUGUUCCAAAUUCUGGAAUCAAAUAAUUUCAUGUUGGAUCCAUUUUUCGGAGAGUGUCUUGUUGGGUGUCAUUGCUGUCAAUCUACAAGAUGUUGUUCUUAGUAAAUUUCAACAACAAAGAGUAGUAUUAGUUUUUGUGGAUACAGAGAAACAAA